rnacentral:rRNA from 1 species
CAGUCGCCGCGGUAAUACGAGGGGGGCAAGCGUUGCUCGGAAUUAUUGGGCGUAAAGGGUGCGUAGGCGGUUUGGCAAGUUUGGUGUGAAAUCUUCGGGCUCAACUCGAAGUCUGCAUCGAAAACUGCCGGGCUUGAGUAUGGGAGAGGUGAGUGGAAUUUCCGGUGUAGCGGUGAAAUGCGUAGAUAUCGGAAGGAACACCUGUGGCGAAAGCGGCUCACUGGACCAUAACUGACGCUGAUGCACGAAAGCUAGGGGAGCAAGCAGGAUUAGAUACCCCAGUAGUCCCUGUCUCUUAUAC